ensembl:snoRNA
AAAAAAAAAAAACACUGAGCAUGCCUCCCUGAUUUAUACAGGCCCCUGCUGUGGAGGUGAUGGCCAGUCCAGGUGUCUCGUUGAUU